rnacentral:lncRNA from 1 species
AUGCCCAAACUCUGUCCCAAAGCUGUAGAUAAAAGCAAAAUGAAAGAUCUGAAGGCAGACCAUCUCAGACAAAGAAAAUCACAACACUGCUGUACUUGCAAGGCCUGCAGCACGUUUCUCCAAGCCUCAGGAGUGGGACUUCUCCCAACAGAUUUCAUUUGCACAGUAGGCAAACCCACAGCAGAUAAAAAUAAUCCCAAUGCAGACUCAUUGUCCAAAAAGGACCUGGAUAAUUCAGCAAAUCUUUCAUGUGUGAAUGUAAUGACGUCCUACAGUGUUUCUGAAGCCAAGGAUAAACAAGUAGAGAGAUGUCCUGAAAUUCCAUCCUGCAUUUAAGGAGAAAACACGCCUUGGUUUCUGGGGAAAGGACCCUUAAAUGGGAAGCAGGGAGUGAUUAACAAGAUUUUCUGUCAAUAAAAGUAUCUUCUGGAGUGUCA